GUCCCUUCGGGAACAUCCGAUGAAAUUGGAACGAUACAGAGAAGAUUAGCAUGGCCCCGGAUGACACGCACAAAAAAAACAGGUGACAGACCAUGUU
rnacentral:snRNA from 1 species